AUAGAUUCUUUUUAUUAGCAAAAAAUAAUAGGUAUUCAGCUGAAUACCCUUGAUUUCAAGUGGGUCUUUGACCAUGAUUUUUCGAACGUUAAAUCCAUAUAACGGUGGCCUCUCACCCAUUCUUUUCCUCUCUUUCUUAUCUCUUUGAGUCAGACACGCAGAGACAGAGGAAAGGGGAGGAGACAGCCAUGGGACAUAGUAGCCGGCGCUGCCUACGGCUCGUGCGAGGCAGCGGCGUGGUCCUCGGCGGUUGCAGCAGGGGGCGCGACCGUCCAUGGCGUGCGGCUCCCUGGCAGCUGCAGCAGGGGCGCGGCUGGCCGGGAGUGCGCGGCGUCCCCUAGCUCAGCGCGUUUCGUGGCGCGUCCUGGCGCGUGGCAGUGGUGGCGCGGCUCGCCUGCGGCCUGCGCGCGGCCGGCCCAUGCCCGAGCGGGCAGUGGCGUGGUCCGCCCGACGGCGUCCGCGGCCUCCCGGCGGCAUGUGACGCACGGUGGCCGGUUGUCGAGCCCGCAGUUCGGCGUUCCCACGGCCACGACCACCGCGUUCACGACCCUGCAGGGGCAGGAUUCGCGUGAUGACGGGGCUAGAGGCACCCGCGCGUCCGCGUAUCGAUCCGCACGUCUUUAGGACGUUGGUGGCUUGGCCCGCAUGCACAUCUUCAGGAUGGCAGCGAGAUACCAGCGUUUGUUCAUGAACAAGAAUAUGACUGUGCGGACGACUGGAAUGGACGAAUGCAACCAGUCACGACAAAGAUAUGCUCGUGCACGUGUUCUACUGCUCGGCAGGCCAACGGCGUUUAACUAGUUGUCUAGAUAUCUACGGUGGCGGAUACUUGUCGGCAAGGGAAGAUAAGAAAGAGAAGGAAGAAGAAGAUGGCACGUGGAACCCGCGUGUCAGUGAGUGACAGGGAGAGGGGCACUGCAAUGAAAUAUACGUCUUCAUAUAUGCCUGCAGCUAGGUCAAAAUUGUUUGUAUACAUAUCUUGUGACAUUCUUGUGAGAAACAAAGAAUUGUAAUAGCACAUUUCAAAAUAAGUGAAUAGUAAUGAUGUUUCUCCGAA